GCCGUCUAGAAUUCGGCGCUUGGGGGGGGAGGUGCUGUCACGGUUUGGUCUGCGUUUGAGUCCUGCCUUCCCCACACCCUGACAGGAAAGUGGAAGUUUGGACGGGAGGAGCUGCGUAUAGUGCGCCUAAGUAUGUAUUCCAAGGUAUGUACAGACAAAAUCAUGACGCGUUUGUAAUAUUGCUGCCUCACUGUUACGAUCACUGGCGGUCUAGGGACAGCCGUAACACUAAAAUUUGUCGAUGUAUCACGGGGGAGAGGUAAAUGAAAGGAGACAAGGCAGGCACGUUGUAAAAGAAAAAAAAACUGGGGUUUUAUUGUUCUCCCCGGACCCAGUCGAAAAGAGGGGGAUAAGCACCCCUACCUGAAUACAUUGGGGAAAGAACGUAGGCGGCGCCAACUGAGAGAACCAAGUAUAACCAAAACACCCCUACCUCGACCUACCCCUAUCCAAAGAAAAAGGUCGAAAGAAAAACGGAGUCUUCGCGCACUCGGCGCCUACACCUCCUAUCUAAUAACAAAAAUACAGGGGGUGGCGCUCACCUCUACCCUAGGGUGUCUAUACACAGGACAACUACGGGCAGGAUGUAUAUCGCGAUAUACUAACCUACCGUUCUUCCCCCCGGCGCGGUUUUGCAGCUGAUGCCGCUGAUGACACGAAAACACUUAUCCAAAACAGUCUGAAAUGCACAACAAUCUGGGUGCCGGAGAGCAGCCCACAAUCGGCGGCCCUGAGCGUCAGCAAUACUGAGAGGGGUUUCAGAGAAUGAGCCCGCCGUCCCUCUUAAGCAGCGGCUCCGUCUCCUGAUUGGCCCUCGUCCUCCGCCCCACUGACGACCGAUCCGCCAGUCACAGCGACCUAGAGGAGGGGCAAUUCACAGGAAACCAAUCAAAGUGUAAUCAAACAAUAAACAACACUCCUGCAGUGCACGGGGAACGUAACACCUCCCCCCUUAAGAACCAACUAUAUGUAAAAAAAACUACUCAGCAUAUAGUUGUUCAAACGAUCGUACUCACACGCCGCCAGAGGCAACUCUAGACAAGGCAUCGGCGAUCACGUUUUCUACGCCUCUUUUAUGUUUGAUUAUCAAAUUGUAUCCCUGUACAAUCAGCGCCCAGCGCAUCAAACGCUGAUUCUGAUUAUACAUACGAGAUAAGAAAACUAACGGAUUGUGAUCAGUAAACACGGUAACGGGACUAAUACUCGAUCCCACAUACACGUCAAAAUGCUGAAGGGCCAUCAGCAAGGCUAAUGCCUCCUUCUCGAUCGUCGAGUAGUUUAACUGGUGCUUAUUAAACUUGCGCGAGAAAUAGCAGACGGGAUGGUCAAUACCAUCUUUACCGCCCUGAAUUAGCACAGCUCCCGCACCCACGUAACUCGCGUCCACAUCGAGUUUAAAAGCAGAAUCAAAAUCUGGAGCGGCCAAAACAGGUGCGUUACACAGAAGAUCUUUGAUCGCGUUAAACGCAUGCUCACAUUCCGUGGACCACAAAAACGUCCGCGACGGACUGAGGAGCGACGUCAACGGCUGGGCAAUCGUCGAAAAGUUUUUACAGAAGCUGC
ensembl:lncRNA